AACACUUCCACUAAGAGUCCCUCCAAAACAAACUUUGAAAUGUAAACACUGGGUAGAGCUCAGGACUUUCCUCUGGAUCAGAUCACUUCUGCCUCCCCCGUGGGACUGUUGAGUACUUGGAUUCAGACGCAGCAGAGCCCUAGGCCUCCCCCCAAGCAUCAGGUGUGUCCCUCUGGUCAAAGAAGGACCUCAUUACUGACCUGAGCCAAUCACCAUCCAGCCGGGCCCUCUCCGGGUCCUGCCGCGGUCUCAGGCUGCACCUGGGACUCUGCCUUCCACUCUGUUUAUGCUCAGGGAGCCCCUGGUCUGAGGGAGGCUGCCGAGGGAGAAGGACCCAGGCUCUGCUGCUGGGACCCCCCUCUGGGGGCGAGGGACUCACUCCCUAAUCUCUCUCCACCUGCAGUAACAUCUUUUUUUCGAGACUUCAGGCUCUUUGGUCUGUGGAUUGAGACUAUUUCGCCUAUAUCGUAUGCAGCAAAGGGGGACCUUACACAAGUGGCAAAGGACUUAGAAUAGAGCCCAGCAGGAGAUACAGAGUCUGAUCCUGAGGGAAUGGCUUCUUGCAGAGCUGGGCUCAGCCUGCAGCCCUGCUCUUGGAGUGACUGCAGAAGCAGCCUGGUCCCUGGCUGUCCAGGAAGAGGGAGUGCAGCCCAAGAGGGUGAGUGGCAGACAGACGGUCCCCAGGAGACACGGCUCCAAGAGCAAAGACAGGAGGCAAGCUCAGCCCCACAGAGGCCGGGCCGGAGGACAGCGGGUUGGGAGGGCAGGACGUACCGCCGCCGGUCAGCCCACAUCCGGGGAGGGGGCUCUGCUUCGACUUGCACGCCUUUCUGGAAUCUGAGCUGGCGCCUCCCUCCACGAACGCCGGGGCGAUGGGGCUUUUCUCUCCGGCAGCAGGUGCCUGGCAGCUGCCCGUGGAUGCCAGCCCCGUGAACUGGCCUGGGAGGAAGUGCCUGUCGGAGUGGUGAUUGCGAGGAUCUCAUGUAGGUGGCGUCCUUCCAGAAGAACAGAGUGGAAGGUGGGGCUGUGGAUGAGAAUAGGAGCCAGGGACCUAAGAGAACAGAAGGGCAGGAAGGACUCAAAUGGAGGAGAGGAUCCAGGUGAACCCAGUGGACGGUGAACAGCUGGGUUGAGGGGGUGUCUCUUGUGCCAGCAUUCCAGGGCUGCUCUCUGUGCCAGGCACGGGGCGGGGGCCAGAGAGUGUGGUGCGAGCGGGCCGGCCUGGCCUUCCCCAGCCCUCAGGCAGCGCACAGGACGGUGAGCUGGAGGGGUGUGCAGGAGACACAGUCCUGCGGCUUCCCCAGCCCAUCCGCGGUGGCCUUUGGCACCUCCUAGCUCUCGGCCGCUGCCCGCUCUGUCUCCGCCUGUAGGAGUGAGCGCCUGUGCUGUCUCCCUGCCCCUCCCAGCCGCCCAGCACUGAGUCUCGUGGCCGUCAAGGCUGAGGCGGAAGAGCGGCUGGCACGGGGCAGGGAGCAGCCAGGGCCCUGGCCCCAGGGUGAGAGCUGACGUCUGUCCGGGAGCAUCUCUCUCCCUGCCAAGGGUUGAGAUCCUGGGCUGCAUGCCUUCCUUCUGACACAG